rnacentral:lncRNA from 1 species
CUGCAUCCAGCACAUUGAUGGAGCCAAGAUGGCUGAAUAGGAACAGCUCCAGUCUACAGCUCCCAGCGAGACCAAUGCAGAAGGACUUUCAUCACGAUGUUCAAGAAUAGCAGUAAGAGUGGUCCUAUAAUCCACUGGAGACUUUGCAGCCCAUUUGACAAACUAGCAGUGUCUGGAGAUUAAUGCUUGCUUUCCUUCCUGAGGUCUUCAGCUAAUGGUAGUUUGUGUGUAAAUGCACCAGCUCCUUCUCCUCUCUGAUGGGGUAUCUCUGAGAUAAAACUUUGUACAGUGGCCCCCACAACUCUCUAGUGGGAUUAAGCUAUGUUUCUGUAAGUGAUAGCUUCAUUGAUGCACCUGUUUUAUUGUCUGUCUUCCCCUUCCCUUCUCAUUUUUUUACUCUCCUACCUGUGUUUUCUAGAAUCAUCUUUCAAAUAAAACAAUUAAACUUGAAUGCUUUUUUUGCUGGAUCAGUUUAUUGGGAAGCACACAAAGGCAGGAGUUAUCCUAGGACAUGGAACUCAGGAUGGAUUUCUGUAAUUGAAUAACUUGCUGACAAAAUGGCAAUGUGAAUUCCAC